ensembl:snRNA U6 U6 spliceosomal RNA
GUGCUCGCUUCAGCAGCACAGAUACUAAAAUUGGAAUGAAACAGAGAAAAUUAGCAUGGUCCCUGUGCAAGAAUGAAAAGCAAAUUUUGUCAAGUUCCCGAACAUCAU